UUUGAAGCAGAGAAAUCCAAGGGAGACACUGGUCUGGCAAAUAAGAGAAAAAGACCAGUGAUGAAAGAUCAAGAGGCCUAUCGAGCAGGGAGCCGGUACAGGUAAAGUCACUCUGGGUCAGGAACAAGGAGGGGAGGGCUGCAGGGAGCCAGGAGCCAGGCUCAGAGAACUCAGGGCGCAGCUGCACCGGGGUGUCUCCCAUUCCCUCCAGCUUCCCAGGCAAUCUCUAGAGCGGCCGAUACGCAUGUGGAGCACAGACGUCUGAGGUCCCCAGAGUCUGCUGGCCGCCUCUUUCAAAACGCUGGGGAGAACAAGAUCAGGGCUAGGAAGACACCUGCCAGUGCUGGCUGGCUCCUCAUCACCUUCUCAUCCCAUCAGCAUUAUCUCACCACACCUCCAGGCCCCGUGGGCCUGGAUCAGGUCCACAGGAGCAAGCUUCCAGGUAAAUCUAGAUCCAUUCCUAAACCUGUUCUCCCUGUCUGGAGCAGGCAUCCCACAGCAGCCUGCCCAAGCAAACACUCUCCUUACUUGUUUUCCAACCAACAGCAUCUCUUUUCAGACUUCUUUCUUUUAAGCCCUCAUCCAGGCCAUAAAGAACAGGCAGCCACCCCUUGCAAACUGACUCAUCCCUCCUCACAUCCUCAACUUCUUUUCAGAGAUGUAGAGGCUGUGCUUUUAGAAGAAC
rnacentral:lncRNA from 1 species